rnacentral:rRNA from 1 species
UAUGGGGGGGGCAAGCGUUGUUCGGAAUUACUGGGCGUAAAGGGCCAGUAGGCGGCCAACUAAGUCGGAUGUGAAAUCCCCAGGCUUAACCUGGGAACUGCAUCCGAUACUGGAUGGCUUGAAUUCGGGAGAGGGAUGCAGAAUUCCAGGUGUAGCGGUGAAAUGCGUAGAUAUCUGGAGGAAUACCGGUGGCGAAGGCGGCAUCCUGGACCGACAUUGACGCUGAACGGCGAAAGCUAGGGGAGCAAACGGG